UUCAUGUUGGACAACGCCAGGCCUGUGUAAUAAUGUCCCAAAGCCCAGGCGCAAGUGGGACAAGUAGGCCGUAUAGACAGCGCUGGGCCCCGCGCGCGUCCCCUCGGACCUCACCUGAGUACGUGUGGAAGGUGUCCUACUGCUAGAAGCUGCGACUCUGCCCGAGGGCUUGCUCUCGGUCCAAGCAUGCUGCCAGACAGCUGUGGCCAAAUUAAUCCCCCAGGAGCGGACAUCCGCUAAUGUUGCAUGGGGAUUGCAAGUGUUUCUUCAGCAGUCUGUGGGAGAAGGCAGAAUCAGGCAGGCCCCCUGCUUGAUGCCUAGGAGCGAAUGCAGAGAGUCACCCCGGCACCGUAUCUAUGCGCACCUCCUGUGAGAGGAUGUUAAUACUAGGAGCAGAUGGAAAGUGAAUAAAUAGCUUUUCCUCCAUUGACUUCUCAUGUGGCUCCUCCCAGAGCUGUCUGUUAUCCACUUACAUGCCCUAGUGUGCAUCAGAUUGUUGUGAACACUGUCACGUCCAAGUUGCAUCACACCUGGGGCUGCUCACCCUCAGGUGCAGCUGCGAGCCUGUCGCUGACUCUGUCACUGGGGCUUGGAGAAGUGGACGGGGCACUGGAGCUCCUCCCACUCUCCAGAUGGCUCCACCCACCCUGGAGGCCGCCCCAGGCUCCUCCACCUUUAACAGCAGCUUCUGUGCCCUCAGGGGAAUCCUUUCAGCAAGAACAACCACUGCUGGUCUUCUACGUCAGAAAGCUAACCAUGGCUGUCCCAGUGUUUCCGCCAGAAUUCCUGGGCCUGGGACAGUCAGACAAUCCACCGCUGCAUGAACAGGUGGACAUAUACUCCAUUUGCAAGACCCGUGUCACUGCACCUGCUGUCAAUAGUAGUAACCAGGCCAUACCUCUAGAGCACUUCCUUCUUGCACACCCUCCCUUCCAAUUUUCUCAGACAAGCCCUGUCAGAUGAAGGACAGCUUGAUGUGUGGAGACCUUACUGGAGAGCUCACGAUAGCUAGAGGUGGCGGCUGGGCUGUUCUACCCAUGGGGCUACGCAUCCUCAAGAUUCUCAAGGCGGUGAACUUUCAGCUGGACUCCACUCCCUGUUAACAGGCAGCCCAGUGGUCAUUUUCUUCUCUGCUCCGCCUCUCCUCUCCUCGCUCUCAGGGCGAGCCAGAAUGGAGGAGGAGGAAGGCAGACUUUCUAACACCUGCAAGGAUACGGACUGUGGUGGACCGGAGAAUGGCGGGGAGAGGAGACGCUCCGAGGGCCCCACUAUUCUGCACACAUCCCCAUAU
rnacentral:lncRNA from 1 species